rnacentral:rRNA from 1 species
UACGUAGGAUGCAAGCGUUGUCCGGAUUUACUGGGCGUAAAGCGCGCGCAGGCGGCACACCAAGUACCCUAUGAAAUCUCCUUGCUCAACGGGGAGGGUGUGGGGUAGACUGGUGAGCUAGAGGACGGUAGAGGCGUGUGGAAUUCCGGGUGUAGUGGUGAAAUGCGUAGAGAUCCGGAGGAACACCAGUGGCGAAGGCGGCCGCCUGGACCUGACCUGACGCUGAGGCGCGAAGGCGCGGGGAGCGAACGGG